rnacentral:tRNA from 1 species
GCAACUAUAGUAUAACAAUUACUUUACAUUUUCAUUGUAAAAAUAAGAAAUUUUUCUUUAGUAGCU